UGACUGGUAGUGUAGGUUUUUUUGAACAGUAUUAGGUGUAGCCUAGCAGCCCACUCCAUACUCAUUGAGACCCAGGUUGCUUUUGCUGAGCCUUUGGAAUGUGCUCGGUGCUACGUUUGGGUCUUAGGGUCUUCACUGCGGGAGUCAGGGGCAGCGGCAGGAACCACACUGUGCCUAUGAACUCUAUUCAAACUCUGAAAUGCCUCUGCCUAGGCAGGAAAUUGAAAUAUUGGGCUGUAUGUGCAGACCAGUGACCAUCUAUCAUGGCAUGUUGGCUCAAGGAGAGCAGCUCCAUAGGCUGCGGAGUCUACAGGUUAAGAGGUAAAAAGACGAGAAGAGAGUGCCUUGCAGGGGUCCAGUUCUAAACUCUUACAAUCCUUUCACCUCAAAGGGAAAAAAAGAAAAAAAAGGGGGCCCUCUUUUACUGAUCCAGCAGUUGAGGGGGCAUGAGUCAGGGAUAGCUAAUCUGUAGUAUUUCUUUUUGUAACUCAGAAGAGGUAUUGGCAAGAUGUUAGGCAAGGCCAAUGUCACCUACAAACACUCAAAAUCAAAACACCUGAUCAACACUUGACACUAUUGAGUUCGAAAAUGUACACUGCAGUAGUCUCUAUUCUGUUCAAAUACAUUGGCUAAAGAAACAAUGAAUCAAAACUAAAUGUAUAUAGGAGGAGACCUGGGAGUUGCUUCACAAUCAGUUUAAUCAAACUACCUGCCACCUAAGGUGACAGUAUAAGUUGUAAGUCUCUGUAAACAUUUAAAGAACUUACAGGUCAAAAAGCAUGAGACAAAAAGUCAUUUUAUAUAGGCUAUAGGCUACUCAUGCAUUGUAUAUAUAUGUAAUUAAUUUGGUGUUUCAUUCAAUUAUUUGUUUAAUUACUCUCUCUGUAUAUGUAAAUAUAUGUACACCAUUUUGAAUUAAAUGAUUGAAAUGAAAUUAAAUUAAAUGAGGGAUGACAAUUUAGAACAUACAUAAGUUUUCAAUUUAACAACCCUCUAUGUUGACAUUAAUUUACACAACUACUUUAAUUUGUAGCAGACAGAGAUGGAAAUAAAAUGUAAAAGUUUGAAAUGCAGUGCUAGGUAAAUAAAUAAAUACAAACAAACCAAAAACAACAACAACAAAAAAAAAACUCACAGAAACUUACAGUAAAAUCUGUAAUAGGCUACUCCUCGGUCUCUUACAUAUUCAUUAGAUUUUGUACAGAUUUAAAACCCACCAUAGUCAGCAAACUUUAUUCAGAAUGAAUGGGGAAACAUUUAAGAAAGGCCUUUAGGAAUAUUCGAUAAAGAUUACUUACAUUAAACAUUUCCUGUUGGAUAAACUCAUGUGACUCCAUUAAGGUGUGCGAUUGGAUCAAUCUGUGAUUAUAUAAAAGUAAAUGCGCCGCAGUCGUCGGACGGCGAAGCAGGAUGUUGAAUAUCACUUUAAAUUUGUCAAAACACUAAACCCGACAGAUUUGUUUACGAAUUUCUCCUUAAUGGCCGCUCGCGUGACCCUAUAGACCAGUACUGUCAAGCGAGCUGAAAAAAAUUACGUCCAAUUAGUGAUUUUGAAACGACUCAAGGUAUGUGGUACUCUACUCAUACAGGAAAUGACAUCAACGGGUCAAAACUAAAAAUAUGUCGCUGGGCGGACGGUGUGGGACGCCCUGAACCUGUUCUGUACUGGAUGCUUCGAGGCACGUUUCUAUAGUUUUGGAAGGUGGAUGCUGAGGACUUGAGCUGAGUGAGCGCUUCUCAACCAUUACUUUCAUCCUCUGCAAGUUAAGCGCAGACGACACUUUCUCUCUGACGCCGUGGGCCAGUUGUCUCUUUGAACUCAUUUAACCAGGGAUUAAACAAGUUAAUAUCGGAGGACAGGACAGUACAGAAGGCAGUCAGGAAGCAAAAUAGGAAAGAGGUGGGGGGACGGGAUCAGAAAGGACAACGAGCCAGGACUCGAACUCUGUUGCCCGAAGCACAACCACGCUAUGUGUUGGAGUUGCCGCUUUGAUUUUAAAAGCCUUAAUUUUACACUGAGCUAGUGGGAAGGUCACUAUUUUGUCAUGUGAUCAGCAAAUGCAUUUAGCUUGCUUAGUGUAUUAAAUAUUAAUGGCAUAUUUGAUUUUCCUUGGAAUCGAUUCAGUGUGCUCAAUGCAUCAACUCUGCACUUUUUUUCCCCUACUGCCAGGUUUACUUUCCUUCAUUUUCUCCUCUAACGUAGUCAUAUCGGUAUCAUUGUGCCACUUAACAUUCGAUAUUGUCUAAAAUACUAGGUUGAGUCCUAUUGACAACUUUUUGUUAAAUUGGUUAUGCACAGGUCUUCGCUUUGUGCUGUAAGAGAAGACAACCGCAUCAAUGAGCAGGUCUACCCCAAUUUCCUAUGAGUCCUUCACUAUUGUGACAAUAAUAACAUGGGCUUUUUAUGCAGUAGCUAUUACUGCCCUGAGCAGCAGGAGAUCUUGCCAAGACCGAGGCGGCGGGGAUGAGAGAGUGCGGAGGGGGUUUACUUGACUCCACACAAGCUACAUCCCCGCCACUUUCCCUCCCUUCCUCCUCCUUGAAGAGGGCCGUUCCUGCUUUGCCACUUUGCCCUGACAACUGACUGCUUAAACGAGUGCAUGAAAAUAGGUGCCUUGCUGGUCUCCAUGACAGACCGCACAUAAUCAGUGUUGAGGUAUGUAAUUACAGCUGUCAGGCCCAUCCGCUGUAAUUGAUGCAAGUGCAAGCAGCGCUUGCUGCCAGGGCGGCCUCUAACUGCACACAUGGCAGCGACACUGGCCUCUCCUCAUGAGAGAAAAGGAGAAAAACAUUACCUGCACGAUGGAUGGCGUGCGUUAACCACCGCCAAGUGACUCUCUUUCUGCUACGAGUGACAGUCGUUUUUGUCAGCGAAGGAUAGUACCCCUGAACGGGUUUGUCUCCUGGCUUUCGAUUCUCAGACUCGGUUUGAUGUUGCCGGGCACAUUCACAGAUGGUGAAGGGGGGUAAGGGGGAGUGAUGAAAAUGCUGUCAAAGCCACAGACGCUUAAGUGUCUCCAAGGCGAGGUGGUCUGUCUGCGGGGUGUCUGUGCUUGGCUUAUCGCUGUUGGCUUUUUAAAUGUUUCAAUUCCUGCCAUCCAACUUGACUAGAAAAAAAAAAGAGAAAUCACUUGAAUCAGACUUCUUAUGCUGCUUCACGCGAGAAGAGGGGGGGCGUCAAGGUGGAUAGGCCAGAAAUGUAGUGACUUGAGCAUCUAGGCUGAAGGCUGGGGUAAAUAAGUCCUCUAGAGAACAUAUAAAGACCUCUCUGGCUACAAAGCAGGAGUCUCAGAUGCCUGCCCUGCGCCUAGCUGUUGUAAUAUUGAUCAGAGGAAGGUGUGUUUCCCUCUUUUAUUUCUGCUGAGGAUUGAUGGUGGAAACCAACACAAGAGGAUAUUUAUUGAUUUAGCUUGGGAAGUUAUGGGCAAAUAACUUGACAACUGCACCCAAAUGCAGUCGUAUAGAAGCCUCGUUUAAUUCUUGUUUGUUUUGCCAUUAUUGAUUUUAUUAUUUUUUUAUCAGCUGUUACUAAAACUGUUCAUUUGCUAUGACAUCAGGGUUCCCAUUUGUUAACAUGUUUCGCAUUUACAUUUUUGUCUCUGUACCAGGAACAAAAGCGUUGCUCGCUAUGCCAAAAUGUUAAGUAGAAUUUUUCAUACAAACUUGAAUUCAUACAUCCUCAUUUUUUUUAUUUGAAAAGAAAGACAUGCGCUGACUGCUUUAAAGAUAUUAAUUUAAGAUUUUUAAUUAUUUAAUAAAUUAAAUUAAAAAUUAUCAUAUGGUUUGGCUCAGAGUACACAUGGAUUAUGAAUUCUCAACUGGAAGGAUGCAUUACAGCC